UACAGAGGGUGCGAGCGUUACUCGGAAUUACUGGGCGUAAAGCGCACGUAGGCGGCUUGGUAUGUCGGGUGUGAAAUCCCCGGGCUCAACCUGGGAACUGCAUCCGAAACGGCCUUGCUAGAGUAUGGGAGAGGGAAGUGGAAUUUCCGGUGUAGCGGUGAAAUGCGUAGAUAUCGGAAGGAACAUCAGUGGCGAAGGCGACUUCCUGGACCAAUACUGACGCUCAGGUGCGAAAGCGUGGGGAGCAAACAGG
rnacentral:rRNA from 1 species